UACGUAGGGGGCAGGCGUUAAUCGGAAUUACUGGGCGUAAAGCGUGCGCAGGCGGUUUGCUAAGACAGGUGUGAAAUCCCCGGGCCUAACCUGGGAACUGCGCUUGUUACUGGCAGGCUUGAGUGUGGCAGAGGGGGGUGGAAUUCCACGUGUAGCAGUGAAAUGCGUAGAGAUGUGGAGGAACACCGAUGGCGAAGGCAGCCCCCUGGGCUAACACUGACGCUCAUGCACGAAAGCGUGGGGAGCAAACAGG
rnacentral:rRNA from 1 species